rnacentral:rRNA from 1 species
GAUGAACGCUGGCGGCGUGCCUAAUACAUGCAAGUCGAGCGAACAGAUGAGGAGCUUGCUCCUCUGACGUUAGCGGCGGACGGGUGAGUAACACGUGGAUAACCUACCUAUAAGACUGGGAUAACUUCGGGAAACCGGAGCUAAUACCGGAUAAUAUAUUGAACCGCAUGGUUCAAUAGUGAAAGACGGUUUUGCUGUCACUUAUAGAUGGAUCCGCGCCGCAUUAGCUAGUUGGUAAGGUAACGGCUUACCAAGGCAACGAUGCGUAGCCGACCUGAGAGGGUGAUCGGCCACACUGGAACUGAGACACGGUCCAGACUCCUACGGGAGGCAGCAGUAGGGAAUCUUCCGCGAUGGGCGAAAGCCUGACGGAGCAACGCCGCGUGAGUGAUGAAGGUCUUCGGAUCGUAAAACUCUGUUAUUAGGGAAGAACAAAUGUGUAAGUAACUAUGCACGUCUUGACGGUACCUAAUCAGAAAGCCACGGCUAACUACG